ensembl:lncRNA
UGUCAGCAGCCAGCCCAGGAGCCUAGCCCAGAGGCAGCUGCGGAUCGGACAUGGCUCGGGAGCCCAGGCCCAGCUCUGCCCGGCGGGGCUGGAAGAGGCCGUGGGGCAUAGCCGCCUCCCGCAGCUACAGUCUGGAUUACGAACUGCACCGGGAAGACGGCCCCUGCAGGGGGUACGAACACCAGGGGGUCCCUCCCCUCCUCCACCGCGUGCCUGUCAGGAUCCGGAAGGCCCACCUGGGCACGGGGGUCAAGGGCCGCUUCAGUCCCCACAGGGCCCCCAGAAAGAGCCAGCUGCCCCCCGAGAUAAAGCUCCAGACUGAGGAGCUGCACUGCCUCAGGGGUGAGCUGAGCCACAUCAAGGCCCAGGUGGACCGCCUGCUGGAGCACGUGGAACUCAUGGAGCAGCAGACGGACCAGCUUCCAGGGACAGAGGACUGUGAACAGAACAGGGGCUCUGGGAGUCAGGGGUCCUUAUGCAGAACCACUGAACCCAGGCAGGAGCCCAGAGGCCCGAGGGCCCGUCCGGAGGCGGAAGGCUCCCAGGAGCACACAGACCCG